rnacentral:rRNA from 1 species
UACGAAGGGGGCUAGCGUUGCUCGGAAUCACUGGGCGUAAAGCGCACGUAGGCGGGUUGCUAAGUCAGGGGUGAAAUCCUGGAGCUCAACUCCAGAACUGCCUUUGAUACUGGCGAUCUCGGAGUCCGGGAGAGGUGAGUGGAACUGCGAGUGUAGAGGUGAAAUUCGUAGAUAUUCGCAAGAACACCAGUGGCGAAGGCGGCUCACUGGCCCGGUACUGACGCUGAGGUGCGAAAGCGUGGGGAGCAAACAGG